AUGUUGGGAAACCACCACAUAUACUAACACCAUUUUUUAACGCCCAUUUUCAUAUAAAUUCUCCGUCUAACUUUAAUUUAAACGCAAUCCACAUUUACUAAAAAUAGUAUAAUCUCACAUAUUCCAUUCCUUACGUGUCUUCAUAUGAAGUCGAAUUCAAACAGGCCCAACUUUGACCGCUACUAUAUCGGUAUAUAUUACUUCACAUUUUUCAUUUCUCACAAUAACGGCUUUCUUUCUUUCUUCUUCUCUUUCUUUCUUUUUUUUCUUCUUCUUGUUUUCUUGAGGAAGAAGGUGAUGGAAAAUUGUUAGUUUUUCGAUUUUUUACAUUGUAAAGAGGAAAUGACGAUGACCCACAAUAGGUGUUCGUCAGUUUCGAGUGCGGUGACGAAGAGACAAGCAAUGGUGGCGGAUUCAUCGGGGUUGGAGAACAAUCAGGCCGGAAAUUUCUAAUAUCUCGAAUUUAUACAACUGUAUCUGCUCGUAAUGGAUUUCUCAUUCCUCCAAACUUUGAUGCUGCAGUUGUAAUGCUCUCAGGUCAAGUUGCAGAUGGAUUGACUACUAUAUUUGCUGGGGAACUGGUAUCUCUCAAGAACAUAGACAGAUUUGGGCAUUUUGAAGUAUGGCAUAUUGCAGGAUCUCUCUUGGUUGCUGUCUCAUUUUCUUCCAUGUUUGGCGGUUGCUUGCCUUGCAAACUUAUUGGUUCUGAUUCGGCCAUGCUGCAAACUAUUGGUUACAGUGUGUUCGCUGCAAUCUUCAAUGUGGGAUGGGCUGCUUCUCAAGUAUCGCACAUGUAAUGUUUGCUCCUAUCUAUCUUCUUGUUCUAAAUAUUAUAAGACUGCCAGGUUUGCCCAUUUACUCCUGAAAACCUUCUUACGGCACGAUUAACAUAUUAGUGCAGUAUUUGGAGGGCUGUUUUCUUUGACUAAGUAAAAGAUCUAGAUCCUCCAUCAUUCCUUUGUAGAAAAAAAAAACCCAGCUAAUUCAUGUCUUCCUUCUCCUCCUCAAGUUAUAAGCAAUAAGAAUGUGAAUGGCAAUCCAUGUACUUUCCACCCCUAAAAAAAGUUAUCUUUCUCCAUGUUCAUCAAAAAGAAAUACUCUCCUGUUGCUGCAGUAAACUAUAUGACUGGAUAGUAAUUUUUCUGAUUAUGUGCAUAGUAGAUCAUUUCUACUGAAUGGACUGAAUAGGAACUAUUACUCAAAGGAUUCAUGUAGCUGACCUCAACUAAUUUGUGAUUGAGGCAUAGAAGAUUAUUUAUGUCGAUUUCUUACUUUGAAGGGAAUAUUAGCUUUCAAAAUGGAAGAAGCUAAAGAAAAUCGGUUAGAAUUUUAGCUUUCGUCAAAAGGAUAAGUAGGAAUUGUAGGACAAAUUACAUAUUCCCGUGUUACUUUUAUCUCUUUCGAAUAAAUAAAAUAAAAAUAACUCUGUUAGGUUCCUCGUUCAAUAUCCAUGUUCCCUAUACUUGCAUUCUAACUACACU